rnacentral:rRNA from 1 species
AUAUGUAGCCACACUCCCCUGAGAACGCCCCAUCCCAUCUGAUGUGGGAAGCUAAGCAGGGUCGGCCCCGGUCGGUUCUUGGAUGGGAGACCAUGAAGACCAAUGGUACCUGGG